UACGUAGGGUGCGAGCGUUUAAUCGGAAUUACUGGGCGUAAAGCGUGCGCAGGCGGUUUUGUAAGUCUGUCGUGAAAUCCCCGGGCUCAACCUGGGAAUGGCGAUGGAGACUGCAAGGCUAGAGUUUGGCAGAGGGGGGUAGAAUUCCACGUGUAGCAGUGAAAUGCGUAGAUAUGUGGAGGAACACCGAUGGCGAAGGCAGCCCCCUGGGUCAAAACUGACGCUCAUGCACGAAAGCGUGGGGAGCAAACAGG
rnacentral:rRNA from 1 species